CACGUUAUAUGCUCGUCACUGCUAUACUCACAGCUUUUCAACCUCUCUACAUCACUCCUUUUCUCCUUUUCUCUUUUUCUUUAUAAUCUUUUAGAAAUCAAAUCUACCUUCCCCAAAAAAACAUCCUCAGAAAAUUCAAUAAAAAAGCGAAGGGGUGUUUCGUUGAUUUUCCCAAAAGUCAAAAAGUUAAACCUAAUUCACAGAUUUAGUUUAUUCUCCAGUUCUCCCUUUAAUCUAGAAUCUGGGUUUGAGAAUUCGAGCUGAAACAGACAAUUCAGAAAAGCUCCGAUAGGCGAAGGGGUUCUUCCAAUCCAGGAAGAUGGGUCAUCAUCAUCAUCACCACCACCACCACCACCAUAACGAUCAAUCCCAUCACCAUGGAAGCAAUAGCGAUCGCUCUUAUAAUGAUCCAUUCGUAUCGGGUUGUUGUUGUUACCCCUGUCUUCUAUUCUUUUCCCUGUUCAGGAGACUUGGGAGAUGCGCUUUCGUUGCUUGUUACCCUAUCUUGCAGUGCUUUAGAUGGGAUGAUUCCAGACAUGAUCACCACCCAAGACAUUUCCAUUGAUCAGAAGUAAGGUUUCAUGGAUUGAUUCAUGCCAUGUAAAUUUGUAAUUAAUGAUUGGAGAUGUGAUCAAAGAAUGGGCUUUCAAAUGAAUUGCCUGAACAUUGUUGAUUUCAAUUUAUGUGUUCUCUCUUCUGGAUUUGUUGCAGAAGAGGAUUAUGGAACAAAUUCCAAAUAUUGCAAAUGUUAUUUUAUUUUAUUUUAUUUUA